AACUAUCGCCAGCACAAGGCCAUGCGAUUCGAUCAGUUAUUAUGAUUCACCAAAAUGCAGGCAGAGCCUGGAAUGGUUUUUUAUCUAAUAAAUACACCCCUUCCCGAAAGUCGGAGUUUUUUGCAUGUAUUAGCUCUAGAAUUACUACGGGUAUCCAUGUGUAGUAAGAAACCAUCAAAUAAAUAAUGACUGAUUUAAUGAGCUGUACGCAGUUUCACAGUAUAAAGUUGUUUAUACUUAGACAUGCAUGGCUUAAUCUUUGAGACAAGCAUAUGUUACUGGCAGGAUCAACC
rnacentral:rRNA from 1 species